rnacentral:rRNA from 1 species
UAAUCGCAGAUCAGCAUGCUGCGGUGAAUACGUUCCCGGGCCUUGUACACACCGCCCGUCAAGCCAUGAGAGUUCGGGGUGCCUGAAGUAUUCUAUAAGAGUACAAAGGCAAAACGGAUGAUUGGGGCUAAGUCGUAACAAGGUAGCCGUACCGGAAGGUGUGGCUGGAUUACCUCCUUA